rnacentral:rRNA from 1 species
CCUACGGGAGGCACCAGUGGGGAAUAUUGGACAAUGGGCGAAAGCCCGAUCCAACAAUGCCGCGUGUGUGAAGAAGGUCUUCGGGUUGUAAAGCACUUUCGACGGGGACGAUGAUGACGGUACCCGUAGAAGAAGCCCCGGCUAACUUCGUGCCAGCAGCCGCGGUAAUACGAAGGGGGCUAGCGUUGCUCGGAAUGACUGGGCGUAAAGGGCGCGUAGGCGGUUUAUGCAGUCAGAUGUGAAAUCCCCGGGCUUAACCUGGGAACUGCAUUUGAGACGCAUAGACUAGAGGUCGAGAGAGGGUUGUGGAAUUCCCAGUGUAGAGGUGAAAUUCGUAGAUAUUGGGAAGAACACCGGUGGCGAGGGCGGCAACCCGGCUCGAUACUGACGCUGAGGCGCGAAAGUGUGGGGAGCAAACAGGAUUAGAUACCCGUGUAGUC